AAAAGACAAUAGAAUGAAUAGGACAUAACUUUCCUAUGUUUGUAUAUGAAUAUGGAACCAGUGAAAUUCCACAUCAUAAUGCAAGAAUGGGAUCCUAAUUAGAAUAAGUUAUACUCCAUAUAUGUAUAAUAUGUCAAAAUACACUCUACUGUCAUGUAUACCUAAAAUGAACAAAUAAAAAUAUACUUUUACAGAAAAAGAAAAUAUGUGGCUACCACAAGAACACAGCCUAUUAGUGUCAAAAGACUUUUCAGAAGUUCCAUGGUUAUUCUGCAAACCUGUGUCAGUUGUGGACAUUAGAAAUCCCAGGAUCCCAGGAGAGCCUGUGCUGGGUAUCUCCAGGGAUGCUGAAAUCCUCAUGCGUACACAUCAUUGCAUUGAACUGAAUUUGAACAUUGUGUGUCCAACAACUUUGGAAUGUCCUGUUUUGGGAUUACCUUCAGAAUUUAUGUGUGAUAUUUUUGUUUUCCUCAGCAAUGGAAAAAUCUUAAUCCUUAUAGAUGUGUUUGACUUUUGGAAACAGUCAAGUAUAAUUUGGAACAUAGUUUGAUGGAAUAAAGUAUGUAAUCAAAGAUAUUUUUUGAUAAGA
rnacentral:lncRNA from 1 species